GAUGAACGCUGGCGGCGUGCUUAACACAUGCAAGUCGAACGGUGAAGCCCAGCUUGCUGGGUGGAUCAGUGGCGAACGGGUGAGUAACACGUGAGCAAUCUGCCCCUGACACUGGGAUAAGCGCUGGAAACGGCGUCUAAUACUGGAUAUGAACCGUGGAGGCAUCUUCAACGGUUGGAAAGAUUUUUUGGUCAGGGAUGAGCUCGCGGCCUAUCAGCUUGUUGGUGAGGUAAUGGCUCACCAAGGCGUCGACGGGUAGCCGGCCUGAGAGGGUGACCGGCCACACUGGGACUGAGACACGGCCCAG
rnacentral:rRNA from 1 species